rnacentral:rRNA from 1 species
UACGUAGGGUGCGAGCGUUAAUCGGAAUUACUGGGCGUAAAGCGUGCGCAGGCGGUUAUGUAAGACAGUUGUGAAAUCCCCGGGCUCAACCUGGGAAUUGCAUCUGUGACUGCAUAGCUAGAGUACGGUAGAGGGGGAUGGAAUUCCGCGUGUAGCAGUGAAAUGCGUAGAUAUCGCUUGGAACGCCAAAGGUGAAAACAGGUUGCUGGGGUUGUGCCGACGCUGAGACACGAAAGCCAGGGGAGCAAACGGG